UACGGAGGUGGCUAGCGAUGUUCGGAAUUACUGGGCGUAAAGGGCGAGCAGGCGGCUGCUCAAGUCAGGCGUGAAAGGCCUGGUCUCAACCCGGGAAUUGCGCUUGAGACUGGGCUGGCUUGAGUGCGGGAGAGGAUGGUGGAAUUCCCAGUGUAGAGGUGAAAUUCGUAGAUAUUGGGAAGAACACCGGUGGCGAAGGCGGCCAUCUGGACCGCAACUGACGCUGAGGCGCGAAAGCGUGGGGAGCUAACAGG
rnacentral:rRNA from 1 species